UGGGGAAUUUUUGGCAAUGGGGGCAACCCUGACCAAGCAACGCCGCGUGGGUGAUGAAGUAUCUUGGUACGUAAAACCCUUUCGACGGGGACGAAACCGCAAGGUUGACGGUACCCGUAGAAGAAGCCCCGGCUAACUCCGUGCCAGCAGCCGCGGUAAUACGGGGGGGGCAAGCGUUGUUCGGAAUUACUGGGCGUAAAGGGCGCGUAGGCGGCUCGCUAAGUCGGAUGUGAAAACUCUGGGCUCAACCCAGAGCCUGCAUUCGAAACUGACGAGCUGGAGUUCUGGAGGGGAAAGCGGAAUUCCUGGUGUAGCGGUGAAAUGCGUAGAUAUCAGGAGGAACACCGGUGGCGAAGGCGGCUUUCUGGACAGAAACUGACGCUGAUGCGCGAAAGCUAGGGGAGCAAACAGG
rnacentral:rRNA from 1 species